AUUGAACGCUGGCGGCAGGCCUAACACAUGCAAGUCGAGCGGAUGAAGGGAGCUUGCUCCUGGAUUCAGCGGCAGACGGGUGAGUAAUGCCUAGGAAUCUGCCUGGUAGUGGGGGAUAACGUCCGGAAACGGGCGCUAAUACCGCAUACGUCCUGAGGGAGAAAGUGGGGAUCUUCGGACCUCACGCUAUCAGAUGAGCCUAGGUCGGAUUAGCUAGUUGGUGGGGUAAAGGCCUACCAAGGCGACGAUCCGUAACUGGUCUGAGAGGAUGAUCAGUCACACUGGAACUGAGACACGGUCCAGACUCCUACGGGAGGCAGCAGUGGGGAAUAUUGGACAAUGGGCGAAAGCCUGAUCCAGCCAUGCCGCGUGUGUGAAGAAGGUCUUCGGAUUGUAAAGCACUUUAAGUUGGGAGGAAGGGCAGUAAGUUAAUACCUUGCUGUUUUGACGUUACCAACAGAAUAAGCACCGGCUAACUUCGUG
rnacentral:rRNA from 1 species